CGAUGUCAGAAGUCUCCCUGUCACCCGUCCAGCAUGUUCCAGUUUCCAGAACACCCUCUUGUUUGGGACUGUCAAAAGCCUUUUUUAGGUCCAGAUAGACACAGUCAACCCAACCACCUCUUUCUUGUAGAUUCUCUGUGGCUCUGUCAUAAAAACUAAGUAGAUUUGUUACACAGGAUCUUCUUGUUCGAAAACCAUACUGUUCUUAAUUUUUUUAGAUUGGUACAGUACUGUUUGCCUUUUUCCAUACAUCUGCUAAGAUUCCUGUGCACAAGUAUGUCUGGGACAUUAAUCAGUGUGUGUAUUUUUUAUAUAUAUAUAUAUAUAUAAUUUUAUUGACUGAUUUAGGGCCCCUUUGAUGCUCCCUAGAGCAAUUGAAUCACUAGGACUAUGUUACUUUGCUAGUCUUUGAUGGUUUACACCCAGGCAUGAUAAAGGUCUCAGCUGUUGACCUUAACAGGGAUAAAAGUUGAUAAAGGAGCCUCAGAGAGUCUUAGCUUGGCAAUAAUGUGUUGACAUUAGUGAAAGAUACUUUUGAGUCGGUUCCUUGGAUGUUUCCAUUUUCACUUUUUUUUUUUUUUUAUCACCUUCCUCAAGCUUGCUUGGAUAAGCUAGGAAGGAACGGUGAAGAUAGUUCUCAUCCACUCUUUACAUGUAGGAUUCUACGAUCCUAGCAUUGUGAUGGGUAGCUCUGCUAUUAGUAUUUGUUUCAUAACACUAAUUAGAAUUUCUAUGUUGUUAAGAACAAUUUGCAGGGGUUGUUGAAGAUAUUCCUCAACAUAUAUUGCUUCCUGCAGUGUGGUGUAGUAGACUUGUCCCUUGGUGAUGGCUUGAGUAAGAUUCACCAGUGUCUCCCUAGCUCUUCUUUAUCCUUGAUGAGGCCUAUGUCAGAGAUCCUUAUCAGGCUUUGAGGAAACAGUUAGAAGACCCUGGCAGUGACAUUAUCCUGGUGGUCCAAUGUCUUCAGGCUCAUCGAAGCAUCUGAGGGACCACCUCGGGAAUUAGUUUUUCACUAUACUCAACUCCUUGUUUUUGUUGUAUAUAGUAUUGAAAUAUUUUAAAUUUAGACUUGGAAACAAACUCUCAUGCUUCAAUUUAUUCUGAAUUACUCAGCAAAGUGCACA